rnacentral:rRNA from 1 species
UACGUAGGGUGCGAGCGUUGUCCGGAAUCACUGGGCGUAAAGGGCGCGUAGGUGGCGCUCCAAGUCCGUGGUGAAAGCUCGAUGCUCAACAUCGAGUCGGCCACGGAGACUGGAGGGCUCGAGCACUGUAGGGGCAGAUGGAAUUCCGGGUGUAGCGGUGGAAUGCGUAGAGAUCCGGAAGAACACCGGUGGCGAAGGCGGUCUGCUGGGCAGUUGCUGACACUGAGGCGCGACAGCGUGGGGAGCAAACAGG